rnacentral:rRNA from 1 species
AUUCCAGCUCCAAUAGCGUAUAUUAAAGUUGUUGCAGUUAAAACGCUCGUAGUCGGAUUUCGGGGCGGGCCGACCGGUCUGCCGAUGGGUAUGCACUGGCCGGCGCGUCCUUCCACCCGGAGACCGCGCCUACUCUUCACUGAGCGGGCGCGGGAGACGGGUCUUUUACUUUGAAAAAAUCAGAGUGUUUCAAGCAGGCAGUCGCUCUUGCAUGGAUUAGCAUGGGAUAAUGAAAUAGGACUCUGGUGCUAUUUUGUUGGUUUCGAACACCGGAGUAAUGAUUAACAGGGACAGUCAGGGGCACUCGUAUUCCGCCGAGAGAGGUGAAAUUCUCAGACCAGCGGAAGACGAACCACUGCGAAAGCAUUUGCCAGGGAUGUUUUCAUUA